rnacentral:ncRNA from 1 species
GUUUUGCUCCAGAUUUUUGGUUGUACUUGUUAUAUAAAGCAAGUACAUUAAAAGGGAAUCAGGUGUAAGUCCUGAACAGUUCCCGCUGCUGUAAGUUUCUCUGUGUAAUAACAGAAAAAUCUUUUUAACAAUACCACUGUCUAUAAUAUAGAUGGGAAGGGUUAAAUAAGUGAAAUGAGUCAGAAUACCUGCCAAUAAUUAUUAAAGACA